AAGCGUUGAUGUGGAUGAUUCCAGACCAACAGUUGGAAAGAUAUGCAGUAGCCUAGACAAGAACUAGAAGAGCCUUUGUCCGCCGGAUGCGGUGGUUCACACCUGUAAUCUCAGCACUUUGGGAGGCCGCGGUGGGCAGAUCACGAGGUCAGGAGAUCAAGACCAUGCUGGCUAACAUGGUAAAACCCCAUCUCUACUAAAAAUACAAAAAUUGGCUGGGCGUGGUGGCGUGUGCCUGUAAUCCCAGCUACUUGGGAGGCUGAGGCAAGAGAAUCACUUGAACUAGGGAGCCGGAGGUUGCAGUGAGCUAAGAUUGUGCCACUGCAAUCCAGCCUGGCAACAGAGCGAGACUCUGUCUCAAAAAAAAAAAAAAAAAAAAAAGAGCCUUAGUCUUUCAAAACAGAAAUUUGCAUGGUUGGAUUGUUUAAUGACAGAAGAGGUAGCAAAUGUCAGUGAGCACCUUCUCCUUUAUCCAUAGACUACAUUGCAGGGGUGAGUUAAAAAGAAAGGGUAACAUGGGGCCAGGCACGGUGGCUCACACUUGUAAUCCCAGCACUUUGGGAGGCUGAGGUCAGAGUUCAAGACCAGCCUGGCCAACAUGGUGAAACUCCAUCUCUACUAAAAAUACAAAAAAUUAGCUGGGCGUGGUUGAGGGCACCUGUAAUCCCAGCUAUAUGGGAGGCUGAGGCAGAAGAAUGAUGUGAACCCAGGAGGCAGAGGUUGCAGUGAGCCGAGAUCAUUCCACUGCACUCCAGCCUGAGUGACGGAGCGAGACUCCAUCUCAAAAAAAAAAAAAAAAAAAAAAAAAAAAAACGUAAAAUGCACAGCACUGCUAGGGUGUUGCAUCUUGUUUGAGUUUCUGGGCUUUCUCUCCACUAGAGUGGCCGCCCAGAGACCAACACUUGCUUUGCGUACCUCUGGCCAAGGGCGCUACUUCCUCUAGUAACAAGAAAGAUGAUGGGAGGAUGGGAGGAGCUGCCUCCAUGGCCUUGUGAAAACCUGAAUCUGAAAAAUGUCUGAAUUUGUUAAAGACCAGUCCAAAAAUUUGAGAAAAUGAACUCAUUCUGGGAGUGGGUUUUUUCCACUCUCAUUAGGCUGAGCUACCAAUUCUUUUUGGGGGCCUUAGUGCCUGCCAUGGUCAAGUUCUAUAGAAACACCACUCAACACAGAGUUACCCAGAAAAGGCAAAGCUAUCAAGAUAGAAAGUAGAUUAGUGGCUGCCUAGGGCUCAAGUGGGUAAAGGAGUGACUGCAAAUGAACCUUAAAGAUCUUUCUGGGGACGGAGGUAUUUUAAAGUUGGAAUGUGGUGAUGAUUGCACAGCUCUGUACAUUCACUAAAAAUUAUUGAAUUGUACACUUAAGAUGGGUGAAUGUCACAGUAUGUAAAUUAAAAUAAAUCUCUUUUAAAAAAUAUUUAAUCAGCCAGGCGCAGUGACUCAUGCCUGUAACCCCAGCACUUGGGGAGGCCAAGGCGGGCUGAUCACUUGAGCUCAGGAGUUUGAGACCAGCCUGACUAACAUAGUGAAACCCUGUCUGCACCAAAAAUACAAAAAUUAGCAGGGCGUGGUGGUGUGCCCCUAUAGUCCCAGCUACUAGGGAGGCUGAGGUGGGAGGAUCACUUGAGCCUGGGAGGCAGAGGU
rnacentral:lncRNA from 1 species